AGGCACACAGAAUUCUGGACAUCUGUAGAAGGCGUUUUUCUCUGGAAAGACUUGAACGCGUUGAGACAAGUCUUUGUGGAGAGCCGCAAGUUUUGAGAGAUUCCUUCCUCACCACAUGGACAUGAUUUUUCCGGCUGCGUCGUCCGAGGCGAUGACGAACCAGACGGCGAGGCAGACGAAAGUGUUGCAGCCCACAGCGAGGCAGAAGCACUGGAGAAAAGAGAGUUCCGUUUUGUGCGCCGCGACGUCUUCGAGGUAGUGGAGGUGAUCAGGAUCUUGAAGCACCCCCGGAAGGUAAGAGAGAAAGUAGGCUGCGAAGAGAGCGCCUGCCCAGUUCCCAACGAGGCUGCAGAUCCAGUUGAUGCAGAGCUGCAGCGCAGUCACUCUUCGCUCGAGGAGACAGACAAGCAUCGUCAUCGUAUUUCCAGUGAAUAGCUCUGCUCCGGUGAAAAUGAUCGCGAUGAACGCGACCGGGAAAAGAGAGGCGUACAGGAACUUCUGGGUCGCCUUGGAAACCGCCAGCGGAUUCGCGGGGUCGGUCGAAUACGCUCCCGCUGAAGAGACAACGCAGAGACUCGUCGCUUCACGCACCUGCGACGGUUUCGAGGACCCAAGUGUGCCAUCCCCCGGAGGACAGCGGACAUGAAAUGGAAAGAAUCUGGAUGAGAAUCUGGACGGAAAGAAGAAAUGCGAGAGAGACAGGACGAAGCGCGCAUGCUUGUGUCCUGCGGAAAGGCGCUGCGGUCCUUGAUUCCCCGGUUUUCU
rnacentral:lncRNA from 1 species